ACACCUCAACUCUCACGGUUCGCCCGUGAUGAGCUUGGACUUCUGGAGGUUUUGCUGGCUUGCGGCCGGCUCCUCUCAAAUGGAUCAGCUUACCAGCGUUUGGUGGCAUCAUGGGUGUGAUAACUAUCUACGCUUGUGGUCGUCUGCCAGGUAACCUUCAGCGAUGGGGGUUUGCUGGGGCUUACAAACGUCUCUCCUCAGCGAAGACAGCUUUUGAAC
rnacentral:misc_RNA from 1 species